rnacentral:lncRNA from 1 species
GGGAGGGGGGCGGGCAGGCGGGCCCAGGUGCGCGGGCAGCGGCGGGACGAGAAAGAAAAAUCGAGGCGGGGAAAAGAGAGGAGGAAGAGGGCAGCGCUGCUGCCCCCCCCCCCGCCUCCGGGCCCUGUGAGGGGACAGCGCCGGGGGAAACAAAGCUCCGAGGGGCGCUCACCUGGCGGCGGCCGCCAGCGGGGCGCCGCGCCGUGUGGAGGCAGCGCGGGUGUGUGCGUGCGGGGGGGGAAGGCCCGACCCCAGCCCCGGGAAGGGGAAACUUUCCCAAACUUUGCCGCUCGAGCACCCCGCGGCCCCCGCCAGCGGCACCGCCGAGGCGGCGGGGCGCCCCCCCGGGACACAGCCCCCACCGCGGGCGGCGGGGCCGAGGCGCUUCCACCAUCACCCCCCCCCCGCCACGGCGGGAGGGGGAGGGGGCGCUGUUCCCGGCUCCGCGCCGCGUUUUCCCGCUCACCCCCCUCCCUCGCCGAGCGCUCCCCGCGCCUCCUCACUCCUCCGCGCCUCCCGACCCCUCCGCCGCAGCCGGCGCUCGCUUUUUUCCACCUAGCCUCCCCUCCCCCCCCCUCCCUCCUUCCUCCUGGCUCAUCCCGCCCAAGGCCGCGAGGGGAGCGCGGAGGGGGAGCAACGCUUCUCCCUCCCCGUUUGUGUAACGGCCUCCCGCGAGGGGAAGAGCGGGACGGCGCCUUAUCGCGGCUGAGGGCGGAGAGGCGGUUGGGACUACUUCGCGUUCCUGCCACGGUCUCCGCGGAGGAGGCCCGGUGUGCGAGAGGCUGCGCGGUGACGCGGCUCUUCUCAGCGCUUCCUGGAAACUCCCGCUUAGGAGCGGAGGGGGGGGAGGAAGAGUCCCAGGCCGGGAGCGAGCCGCGGUUGGGGGGGGGGCCGCCACGGGCCCCCUUCCCUCCGCCGCACCGGGGAGCGCACACGCAGCCAGGACGGCCCCCGAGCUCACUGACACCCCCUCAAACUACCCCCCCCUUUCCCUGCCCGCAUGGAGCACUGAGAAGUGAGGGAAGAACUCCCCCUUCCCCCCCCAUGCAGGCUGGGGGGGGGCGGGCUCCCCUUUUCCCCCCUCAUACCCAGGGGAGCAGCACCCCUCGGCACCCCCAAAAAGAGUGA